rnacentral:rRNA from 1 species
GACGAACGCUGGCGGCGUGCCUAAUACAUGCAAGUAGAACGCUGAAGGAGGAGCUUGCUUCUCUGGAUGAGUUGCGAACGGGUGAGUAGCGCGUAGGUAACCUGCCUGGUAGCGGGGGAUAACUAUUGGAAACGAUAGCUAAUACCGCAUAAUAGUAGAUGUUGCAUGACAUUUGCUUAAAAGGUGCAAUUGCAUCACUACCAGAUGGACCUGCGUUGUAUUAGCUAGUUGGUGAGGUAACGGCUCACCAAGGCGACGAUACAUAGCCGACCUGAGAGGGUGAUCGGCCACACUGGGACUGAGACACGGCCCAGACUCCUACGGGAGGCAGCAGUAGGGAUUCUUCGGCAAUGGACGGAAGUCUGACCGAGCAACGCCGCGUGAGUGAAGAAGGUUUUCGGAUCGUAAAGCUCUGUUGUAAGAGAAGAACGAGUGUGAGAGUGGAAAGUUCACACUGUGACGGUAUCUUACCAGAAAGGGACGGCUAACUACGUG